rnacentral:rRNA from 1 species
UACAGAGAGUGAGAGCGUUAAUCGGAAUUACUGGGCGUAAAGCGUGCGUAGACGGUUAUUUAAGUCGGGUGUGAAAGCCCCGGGCUCAACCUGGGAAUUGCAUUCGAGACUGAAUAGCUAGGGUACGGUAGAGGGAAGCGGAAUUUCCGGUGUAGCGGUGAAAUGCGUAGAUAUCGGAAGGAACAUCAGUGGCGAAAGCGGCUUCCUGGACCAGUACCGACGUUCAGGCACGAAAGCGUGGGGAGCAAACAGG